GUUUUCCUCUGAAAUUUAAGGUGACUAUCAUUUAAUUGGGUAUCAUGAACUUUGAUAUUUUUGCAAAAUAUAUCUUGAAUGACAUUUUUCCUGUGAGUGUGUGUGGGUGCAAGGGCGCGGGGUGGGAUUUCCGAGCAAUGUCAAAGCAUAUUUGAUCCAGUUUGAAGAUUAUUAAGAGACGUGCAGCAGUGAAGAAAUGUCAAAUGUCUUUGUCAUUUCUUCACCAUCUAAAAAGUCAACUUUUUUUAAAAAAAUUAUUCUUCAGGCAAUCCCCUGACCGCUAUUGCUUUUGUACCCACAAAGCCUGCCUUCUGUUUCGCAGAUACCGCAAGCAGGGCUAUACCAAGUUAGCACGAGAUCACCAUUGAGGUUGGUUGAAAAUUGAUUGGUCUCAUCUGGGUUUGAAACUGGGACAGGUAAAGUAGUCAUGAUCGUGCAAGAGGUUGACAUUGACUUGACAAAACUCGUUGAGGAAGUAGCCAGAAUCGAGUUGGUUGAAUUGCUAAGACAACCAAUGAUAGGAAAAUGCGACAUUGUGAACUGAGGUGGACAGCUUAGAAAGGUAAUAUUCUGACUAAAAAGUGGUAUAAAUGGGGAGUUUGAGAAAUUGAGUUUGUUGAGGCCUUGAAGAAAUCUUCUAGGUAGGCAAUCAUCUGAAUCAUAGAGCUGUAUUUGUUGAGUGGCAUAAUCGAUACCCCUUACCAAAAAAUAUUCAGAAGCUGAUAGAUUUACAGUCGUCACACCCGCUUUGUUGCAAGCUAAGUUGAAACCAGGAUAACCACAUCUUGCAGGUUGCUGGUCUGGAAUCCGAAAGGGGAAUCUGAUAGCAAAGUCAUCAUUGAUACACUUGGAAACAGAGCAACUUUGAGCUGUGAUUAAAGUUGGGAAGAAGAAGAGGAAGAAGAGAAAGAUGUGUGAGAAAUCCAUUAGCUUGGCUAAAUAAUUUCUUUUUUGUAAGCUUUAAAACUUGAACCUUUUAUUCAUCAUUGGGUUUGAAUAAGUUAUAAUGUUAUAUGUUAUUAUGACUUAAUUAAAUUAUUCAAAAGUCAGAAGUUUUGGUGCU